UCCAUCGCACGAUAAGCAAUGCAAACAGCGACACGUUAUCCGUGUAACACGCGUGUCUAGGUCUAUGUACGCAACCUCACCCUCCUCUUGCUCUUUCCGUGCUUUAUUCGUCCUCUUUUCUCCCUCGUUGCACACCCGGGAAAAGGGAAAAGUGCUUCGACGAUACCACGCCGGGGCGAGCGAGAAGUGUCAUUCCGGCAUUCAGUCGGCAAAGAGCACGCUGAGAAGUGGCGGAUACGCGCGCGCAAGAAACAAAGAAAAAGGGCGAAGCGCACUCUUGGCCUGCCUAGCGUCCUCGUUGAGCGUAGUUGUUAAGGAUUUAACGGCCGCGACGUAAUCUACGUUUUAUGCAUUCAGCGAAAAAUCCACAGCAUAAAGGAAGGAUCAUAAAGAUCGUAAUCUGUUAUCGUAUUUCGUUCCUCUAAAUCUGUGCCUCUUGUAUUUUCAUGGGUCGAUUAUACAAAUUAAAAAAAAA
rnacentral:misc_RNA from 1 species